CUAUAAUAAUCAGAAUAAAAGUCUUCUCCUAAAGUUAGAUUAGUUUUAUGCUACUCUAUGGCAAGGAAAAGCAAGUCAAAUCUCUCAGAAUUGUAUCUAGAAGAAAAUAAAGAUCAGAUAUAUGAAAAUGCCCUUGCUGAGAUCCAGUCCUUUGAGCUGCCUCUUGGAACCACCCUAAGGUGUAGCUGCACCAGGGCAGGAGAGAUGAUGAGCUUGAGAACAGCAACUGGAAGGAUGCCAAAUGCAAUUGUAGACCUCGAUGCAUUCACAUUUGUCAAAUGCUGUCAGUUCCUUACUGGAAAAAGCAGCUACACAUCACCUUGAAGUUUUACAUAUCUGGCCUAUUUCUUUAGACGAGCUUCCCACUUGUGUGCAGACAACUUUGCCCAGAAAGCAGGUGCAUCCUGUCUCCGGAGCAUGCAAAACCCUAGGAUUAGUUAAUCCCUCACCACAGGACACAGAGUGUAAAAUUUAAA
rnacentral:lncRNA from 12 species